UAAACGACUCUCGGCAACGGAUAUCUCGGCUCUCGCAUCGAUGAAGAACGUAGCGAAAUGCGAUACUUGGUGUGAAUUGCAGAAUCCCGUGAACCAUCGAGUUUUUGAACGCAAGUUGCGCCCAAAGCCAUUAGGUUGAGGGCACGUCUGCCUGGGCGUCUCACA
rnacentral:rRNA from 1 species